AAGAAAUCUCAAAUAUCUCUCUCUCUCUCUCUCACUCUCUCUUUAAACCUCUCCUUACUCCUUCUCUCUAGAAUUCUUCGUCGAUUGUUGACGGAAUCGGAAAACGAAAGCUACCACGAGGAUCUUGGAAGGAUUCUCUACAACUUCUAUGGAUCGGAAUCUCGUUUCGGAGAUUUUCGGGUUUUGGCGUAAAAUCGAAGUUUUGGAAAUCGGUUCACUGUUUAGAGACCUUGGAGUUUGGGAUUUGCUUACGGGGUUAAGGUCCUUCGAGUAACCGGAACUAGCGUCCUGGUGUAGGGAGCGUAGUGGCCGUUGUACUCCAUUAGCGCUUGGGUAAGUGCUAGGACUGUAGUUUUGUUGGGUUGCCAUUUUGAGUUGUAUUUGGGCACCUAAUUUGUACGUUUUGUUAGAGCCUUGUUCUGCUCUUAUAUAGACUCUGGUAUGGUACUGCAUAUGUUGAUUUAAAAUAACUUUUUUCGCUGCGUA